UUUUAGUAAGUCACUUGACUGUACAAAAUGUGUCAACAUUGACUUGAAAAACAAAGUCAGCCACUUGAUAGAUACUGCUUAAAAAAAUCAUUCAAAUAUAAGUAAAACUAUGACAAAUGUAUGAUUAACAUAUUAAAAUUAUCAAAAUAAAAUACCUCAGACUUGGACACAAACCCAAAAGAGUUUACUUUAUGAAAUAUCAUCAUAUUGAAAAUAAGGUAAGAAAGUCUGAACUUAUUUUACCUUUACAUCUAAUAUUGAAUUUAGACAGUUUUUCAACUUUUGAAAUGAAUGGAUUUGUCUUGCUGAUUUUUGCUUCAUUUAUUUGAAGAUUGUUGCUAAAUAUAUAUAUAUAUAUACAGUGUUCUCCCCAGGCCGUUUUAGCGUCGCGGUACCGCGACGCUAUAUUUUUUCACCGUGAUGCUAUAAUAAUUCCCGCGACGCUAUAAUUAUUUUGAAGAUGCUAUUUUACUUGUCCUCAAUUUUGAACUUUCAUCUAUUAUCGAUUAUGAUCAUAAAAAUUAUAUCACCUUUAAUUGUAAUCCCUUUAAGUCGGACACUAAAGGCAAUUAAGAGAUUAAAUAGCUAGGUGUUAAUUGCCCUCAGGGUGAUAACUGUUUGGAUGCGAAUAUCCCAAGCUGACACUUGAGACACGACUAAUACCACGUGUCUGCAAUAACCAAUUUCGACAUGGAAAAAUGCAAUCACAAAACAAUUCGAAAUCUACGUUUUGUAUUACGAAACUUCAAAGAUUGAAAC
rnacentral:lncRNA from 1 species